rnacentral:rRNA from 1 species
UACAGAGGGUGCGAGCGUUAAUCGGAAUUACUGGGCGUAAAGCGUGCGUAGACGGCUAUCUAAGUCGGGUGUGAAAGCCCCGGGCUCAACCUGGGAAUUGCAUUCGAGACUGAAUAGCUAGGGUGCGGUAGAGGGAAGCGGAAUUUCCGGUGUAGCGGUGAAAUGCGUAGAUAUCGGGAGGAACAUCUGUGGCGAAGGCGACUGCCUGGACCAGCACUGACACUGAGGCACGAAAGCGUGGGGAGCAAACAGG